GUCUACAGCCAUGCCACCCUAAACAAGCCCGAUCCCAUCUGAUCUUGGAAGCUAAGUAGAGUCGGGUCUGGUUAGUACUUGGAUUGGAGACCACCUAGGAAGACCAGGUGCCUCACC
rnacentral:rRNA from 1 species